rnacentral:misc_RNA from 1 species
AAAAUGCGUUACCUAGUGUGACAUGCAUACACUCGUGAAUCACCGACAUCUUGAACGUAACUGACAAAGCGAGCUUACGCUCGCUUUAAUCACGGUCGAGUGUCAAUAAUUAACCACAAAAUUGGGUGUUUCGACUUAACCGUCGUCACCUUAAAUUCAACCGAUACGUACUCAAAUAGGGAUUCGCAACCCCAUAAAAAAAUAGUUCGUAUUCGGGUUUUCGUAACCCCGUGUAUUCGGGUAAAAUUAUUGAUUCUUCGGAUAAACUUGACCUCGGCCGUGAUAGACUACCCGCUGAAUUUAA